rnacentral:rRNA from 1 species
GAUGAACGCUGGCGGCGUGCCUAAUACAUGCAAGUCGAGCGAACGGACGAGAAGCUUGCUUCUCUGAUGUUAGCGGCGGACGGGUGAGUAACACGUGGAUAACCUACCUAUAAGACUGGGAUAAAUUCGGGAAACCGGAGCUAAUACCGGAUAAUAUUUUGAACCGCAUGGUUCAAAAGUGAAAGACGGUCUUGCUGUCACUUAUAGAUGGAUCCGCGCUGCAUUAGCUAGUUGGUAAGGUAACGGCUGACCAAGGCAACGCUGCAUAGCCGACCUGAGAGGGUGAUCGGCCACACUGGAACUGAGACACGGUCCAAACUCCUACGGGAGGCAGCAGUAGGGAAUCUUCCGCAAUGGGCGAAAGCCUGACGGAGCAACGCCGCGUGAGUGAUGAAGGUCUUCGGAUCGUAAAACUCUGUUAUUAGGGAAGAACAUAUGUGUAAGUAACUGUGCACAUCUUGACGGUACCUAAUCAGAAAGCCACGGCUAACUACGUG